GAGUUAGAACCAUUAGAGUGAGUUUUUUAAAAUCCCUUUACCACUUUGGCUUUUUUGAACAUUUUUAUGUGCUUUUUUACAAUUUAAGCAGUUUUUUGCAGAUAAUAAAAAUUUGUUUUUUAAUAAUAUGAUAUCUAUGCAAAGCCGGAUUAAAAACCUAUUGUGCCCGAGGCAGAAAUUUCAUAUGUACCCUUUUGACAAAACAUGUUUUAGAAAGCUGCUUGUAGGAAAAUAAAUCUUACUAUUUCACAAAUUGACAAUUGCAUU